UACGAAGGGGGCUAGCGUUGUUCGGAAUUACUGGGCGUAAAGCGCACGCAGGCGGAUUUAUAAGUCAGGGGUGAAAUCCCGGGGCUCAACCUCGGAAUUGCCCUUGAUACUGUCUAUCUUGAGUCCGGGAGAGGUGAGUGGAAUUCCUAGUGUAGAGGUGAAAUUCGUAGAUAUUAGGAAGAACACCAGUGGCGAAGGCGGCUCACUGGCCCGGUACUGACGCUCAUGUGCGACAGCGUGGGGAGCAAACAGG
rnacentral:rRNA from 1 species